CCAAUAGCGUAUAUUAAAGUUGUUGCAGUUAAAAAGCUCGUAGUUGAAUUUUGGGUCUGGCCGGGCGGUCCGCCCUCAGGGUGAGCACUGUUCCGACGCCGGGCCUAUCCUUCUGGUGAGUCGGCAUGUCCUUUACUGGGUGUGUCGGGGAACCAGGACCAUUACCGUGAAAAAAUUAGAGUGUUCAAAGCAGGCGUAUGCUCGGAUACAUUAGCAUGGAAUAAUGAAAUAGGACGCGUGGUGCUAUUUUGUUGGUUUCUAGAACCGCCGUAAUGAUUAAUAGGGAUAGUUGGGGGCAUUAGUAUUCAAUUGUCAGAGGUGAAAUUCUUGGAUUUAUUGAAGACUAACUUCUGCGAAAGCAUUUGCCAAGGAUGUUUUCAUUAAUCAAGAACGAAAGUUAGGGGAUCGAAGACGAUCAGAUACCGUCGUAGUCUUAACCAUAAACUAUGCCGACUAGGAAUCGGGCGAUGUUAUUCUCAUGACUCGCCCGGCGCCUUAUG
rnacentral:rRNA from 1 species